rnacentral:rRNA from 1 species
GUGGGGAAUCUUGCGCAAUGGGCGAAAGCCUGACGCAGCCAUGCCGCGUGAAUGAUGAAGGUCUUAGGAUUGUAAAAUUCUUUCACCGGGGACGAUAAUGACGGUACCCGGAGAAGAAGCUCCGGCUAACUUCGUGCCAGCAGCCGCGGUAAUACGAAGGGGGCUAGCGUUGCUCGGAAUUACUGGGCGUAAAGGGCGCGUAGGCGGACAGCUUAGUCAGAGGUGAAAGCCCAGGGCUCAACCUUGGAAUUGCCUUUGAUACUGGCUGUCUUGAGUUUGGGAGAGGUGAGUGGAACUCCGAGUGUAGAGGUGAAAUUCGUAGAUAUUCGGAAGAACACCAGUGGCGAGGGCGACUCACUGGCCCAAUACUGACGCUGAGGCGCGAAAGCGUGGGGAGCAAACAGGAUUAGAAACCCGUGUAGUCC